rnacentral:rRNA from 1 species
GACGAACGCUGGCGGCGUGCUUAACACAUGCAAGUCGAACGGAAAGGCCCUGCUUUUGUGGGGUGCUCGAGUGGCGAACGGGUGAGUAACACGUGAGUAACCUGCCCUUGUCUUUGGGAUAACUUCAGGAAACUGGGGCUAAUACCGGAUAGGAGCUCCUGCUGCAUGGUGGGGGUUGGAAAGUUUCGGCGGUUGGGGAUGGACUCGCGGCUUAUCCGCUUGUUGGUGGGGUAGUGGCUUACCAAGGGUUUGACGGGUAGCCGGCCUGAGAGGGUGACCGGCCACAUUGGGACUGAGAUACGGCCCAGACGCCUACGGGAGGCAGCAGGGGGGAAUAUUGCGCAAUGGGCGGAAGCCUGAUGCAGCAACGCCGCGUGCGGGAUGACGGCCUUCGGGUUGUAAACCGCUUUCGCCUGUGACGAAGCGUGAGUGACGGUAAUGGGUAAAGAAGCACCGGCUAACUACGUG